rnacentral:rRNA from 1 species
GAUGAACGCUGGCGGCGUGCCUAAUACAUGCAAGUCGAGCGAACGGACGAGAAGCUUGCUGCUCUGAUGUUAGCGGCGGACGGGUGAGUAACACGUGUAUAACCUACCUAUAAGACUGGGAUAACUUCGGGAAACCGGAGCUAAUACCGGAUAAUAUUUUGAACCGCAUGGUUCAAAAGUGAAAGACGGUGUUGCUGUCACUUAUAGAUGGAUCCGCGCUGCAUUAGCUAGUUGGUAAGGUAACGGCUUACCAAGGCAACGAUGCAUAGCCGACGUGAGAGGGUGAUCGGCGACACUGGAACUGAGACAGGGUCCAGACUCCUACGGGAGGCAGCAGUAGGGAAUCUUCCGCAGUGGGCGAAAGCAUGACGGAGCAACGCCGAGUGAGUGAUGACGGUCUUCCGUUCGUAAAACUCUGUUAUUAGGGAAGAACAGAUGUGUACGUAACUGUGCACAUCUUGACGGUAACUAAUCAGAAAGCCACGGCUAACUACGUG